rnacentral:rRNA from 1 species
UACGAAGGGAGCGAGCGUUGUUCGGAAUCACUGGGCUUAAAGCGUGCGUAGGCGGACUUAUAAGUCAGAAGUGAAAGCCCAGGGCUUAACCCUGGAACUGCUUUUGAGACUGCAAGUCUAGAAACCGGAAGAGGUUAGCGGAACUCCCAGUGUAGAGGUGAAAUUCGCAGAUAUUGGGAAGAACACCAGUGGCGAAGGCGGCUAACUGGUCCGGUAUUGACGCUGAGGCACGAAAGCGUGGGUAGCAAACAGG